AUGCAACAAGCACUCUACGUGUUCUUCCAACUGCUCGUUUGGAAGCUUUCGCAGAAAAGGAACAUUUCGGUCAAUGAGGAGCUGCAAAAUGGGAGAUGGAUGAUUGGGUUGCUUCGGAUGAACACGCAAGACGAGCUCCAUCAGUUCCUGGGGCUAUGGGAGCAGCUUCAAAAUGUUCAGUUGCAAGACUGA
rnacentral:rRNA from 1 species